rnacentral:rRNA from 1 species
ACGCAGCGAACUGAAACAUCUAAGUAGCUGCAGGAAGAGAAAGAAAUAUCGAUUUCCCAAGUAGCGGCGAGCGAACAGGAAAGAGCCCAAACCGGCAGAUUUAUCUGCCGGGGUUGUAGGACUGAGACAUGGCACUUCAGAGGAUAGCAGAAGCGUUUGGGAAAACGCGCCAGAGAGGGUGAGAGCCCCGUAAGCGAAAUCCAAAGAAGGCCUAUCAGUAUCCUGAGUAGGGCGGGACACGUGAAAUCCCGUUUGAAUCCGCGAGGACCAUCUCGCAAGGCUAAAUACUAACCAGUGACCGAUAGUGAACCAGUACCGUGAGGGAAAGGUGAAAAGAACCCCGGGAGGGGAGUGAAAGAGAACCUGAAACCGUGUGCCUACAAGUAGUCAGAGCCCGUUAACGGGUAAUGGCGUGCCUUUUGUAGAAUGAACCGGCGAGUUGCGUUAGUCAGCAAGGUUAAGUCAGAAAAGACGGAGCCGCAGCGAAAGCGAGUCUGAAGAGGGCGAGCAGUUGGCUGACGCAGACCCGAAACCAAGUGACCUACCCAUGACCAGGUUGAAGGCGCGGUAAAACGCGCUGGAGGACCGAACCCACGUAAGUUGAAAAUUGCGGGGAUGAGUUGUGGGUAGCGGUGAAAUUCCAAACGAACUUGGAGAUAGCUGGUUCUCUCCGAAAUAGCUUUAGGGCUAGCCUCGCAAAGAGGAUGCUGGAGGUAGAGCUCUGUUUGGACUAGGGGCCCGUCAAGGGUUACUGAAUUCAGAUAAACUGCGAAUUCCAGACAUUUAUGUGCGGGAGUCAGACUGCGAGUGAUAAGAUCCGUAGUCGAAAGGGAAACAGCCCAGAUCACCAGUUAAGGUCCCAAAAUUCAUGCUAAGUGGAAAAGGAUGUGGAGUUGCGCAGACAACUAGGACGUUGGCUCAGAAGCAGCCAUCAUUCAAAGAGUGCGUAAUAGCUCACUAGUCGAGUGACGCCGCGCCGAAAAUUUACCGGGGCUAAGCAUGAUACCGAAACUGUGGAUGUGCAUUUAUGCACGUGGUAGGAGAGCGUUCUAGCGGCGGUGAAGCAUGACCGAGAGGACAUGUGGAGCUUCUAGAAGUGAGAAUGCCGGUAUGAGUAACGAAAGACAGGUGAGAAUCCUGUCCGCCGCAAGACUAAGGUUUCCUGGGGCAGGCUCGUCCGCCCAGGGUAAGUCGGGACCUAAGGCGAGGCCGAGAGGCGUAGUCGAUGGACAACAGGUUGAAAUUCCUGUACUGCACCGAAUCGUUAUGAGCGAUGGAGGGACGCAGGAGGCUAGCAGCGCGUGGUGCUGGAUACCACGUUCAAGCGUCAAGUCUGAGAGCGAGUCAAAUGCUUGCUUUCAUAA